AGGUUGGAGUUCGUUGCGGCAGGGUUGGGGUUUCUAUGCGGCAUGUGCCUUGCUUUGAGAAAUGCAAUGCCCUUCGAAAUCCCAAAAAUGUCCAACGCUUAUCAACA
rnacentral:pre_miRNA from 1 species